AGAGUUUGAUCAUGGCUCAGGAUGAACGCUAGCUACAGGCAUAACACAUGCAAGUCGAGGGGCAGCAUUUUAGUUUGCUUGCAAACUGAAGAUGGCGACCGGCGCACGGGUGAGUAACACGUAUCCAACCUGCCGAUAACUCCGGAAUAGCCUUUCGAAAGAAAGAUUAAUACCGGAUAGUAUACGAAUAUCGCAUGAUAUUUUUAUUAAAGAAUUUCGGUUAUCGAUGGGGAUGCGUUCCAUUAGUUUGUUGGCGGGGUAACGGCCCACCAAGACUACGAUGGAUAGGGGUUCUGAGAGGAAGGUCCCCCACAUUGGAACUGAGACACGGUCCAAACUCCUACGGGAGGCAGCAGUGAGGAAUAUUGGUCAAUGGGCGAGAGCCUGAACCAGCCAAGUAGCGUGAAGGAUGACUACCCUAUGGGUUGUAAACUUCUUUUAUAUGGGAAUAAAGUUUUCCACGUGUGGAAUUUUGUAUGUACCAUAUGAAUAAGGAUCGGCUAACUCCGUGCCAGCAGCCGUGGUAAUACGGAGGAUCCGAGCGUUAUCCGGAUUUAUUGGGUUUAAAGGGAGCGUAGGCUGCCGGUUAAGUGUGUUGUGAAAUGCAGGCGCUCAACGUCUGCCUUGCAGCGCAUACUGUCCGGCUUGAGUACGCACAACGUUGGCGGAAUUCGUCGUGUAGCGGUGAAAUGCUUAGAUAUGACGAAGAACUCCGAUUGCGAAGGCAGCUGACGGGAGCGUUACUGACGCUGAAGCUCGAAAGUGCGGGUAUCGAACAGGAUUAGAUACCCUGGUGGUCCGCACGGUAAACGAUGGAUGCCCGCUGUUUGUCCUCAAGGAUAAGCGGCCAAGCGAAAGCAUUAGCAUCCCACCUGGGGGAGUACGCCGGGCACGGUGAAACUCAAGGGAUUUGACGG
rnacentral:rRNA from 1 species